GACGAACGCUGGCGGCGUGCUUAACACAUGCAAGUCGAACGGUGACGCACCUUCGGGUGCUGAUCAGUGGCGAACGGGUGAGUAACACGUGGGCAACCUGCCCCUGACUCUGGGAUAACUCCUCGAAAGAGGUGCUAAUACCGGAUAUCAUCCCCCUCGGCAUCGUGGGGGGUCGAAAGUUUUUCGGUCAGGGAUGGGCCCGCGGCCUAUCAGCUUGUUGGUGGGGUAAUGGCCCACCAAGGCGACGACGGGUAGCCGGCCUGAGAGGGCGACCGGCCACACUGGGACUGAGACACGGCCCAGACUCCUACGGGAGGCAGCAGUGGGGAAUAUUGCGCAAUGGGCGAAAGCCUGACGCAGCAACGCCGCGUGAGGGAUGACGGCCUUCGGGUUGUAAACCUCUUUCAGCAGGGACGAAGCGAAAGUGACUGUACCUGCAGAAGAAGCGCCGGCUAACUACGUGCCAGCCGCCGCCGUAAGAC
rnacentral:rRNA from 1 species